CCUACGGGUGGCAGCAGUGGGGAAUAUUGCACAAUGGGGGAAACCCUGAUGCAGCGACGCCGCGUGAGUGAAGAAGUAAUUCGUUAUGUAAAGCUCUAUCAGCAGGGAAGAAAACGACGGUAUCUGAGUAAGAAGCGCCGGCUAACUACGUGCCAGCAGCCGCGGGAAUACGUAGGGUGCAAGCGUUAACCGGAUUUACUGGGUGUAAAGGGAGCGUAGACGGCAGUGCAAGUCUGGAGUGAAAGGCGGGGGCUCAACCCGCGGACUGCUCUUGAAACUGGACGGCUGGAGUGCAGGAGAGGUAAGUAGAAUUCCUGGUGUAGCGGUGAAAUGCGUAGAUAUUAGGAGGAACACCAGUGGCGAAGGCGGCUUACUGGACAGUAACUGACGUUGAGGCGCGAAAGCGUGGGGAGCAAACAGGAUUAGAUACCCGAGUAGUC
rnacentral:rRNA from 1 species